CGACGAAGGCGACCCCGAGUCGCGCAGGAGACCCAGCCUCAGAGAAGGCAUUGGCUUCUGAGUCUGUCAAACCUAAACGGAGAGGCUCUAAAGGAAGAAGUCUCCCAACCCUUCGCAAAAAUAUAAACCAUCUGGAAAAGAAAGCAUCUACUGGAUGGAAGGAGACAAUUGCAAAUGAAAGAUUCGCUAGCAAUAGAAUUCAAAGGACUAAAGAAUCUGUGUGAUGCUACAAAUGAAAGCUCUAUCCAGCAAUCUAGUAUUCAAGAGUACUACUGUUUUGGGGCUUCAGAUCAAGUAAUAAUACCAAAGUUUGGACUUGAAGAUCUGUUAGUACAGGAACGUCUACUUGAUCUCUAAGUAGCCUUUUCUCUGUCACAAGUUUUGAAGGGCAACUCCUUUCUUUUCUGGGCAAGAGAACUUCCAGAUUAUUAUGCCCCAUACUCAAAGGACAAGGAAAAUAGAAAACACCUUUUAAUCAGGUAUAAACACUAAA